CAAUAGCGUAUAUUUAAGUUGUUGCAGUUAAAAAGCUCGUAGUUGGAUUUCGGGUGGGACGCAGCGGUCUCGCAUUGCGUUUGUACUGCUGCAGCCCUCCUUCUUGCCUGGGGCGGCCUCUCGGACUUCACUGUCUGGGGGUCAGAAUCGGCGAUGUUACUUUGAGUAAAUUAGAGUGUUCAAAGCAAGCUUACGCUCUGAAUAUAAUAGCAUGGGAUAACACGACAGGACUCUGGCCUAUCGUGUUGGUCUAUAGGACCAGAGUAAUGAUUAAGAGGGACAGUCGGGGGCAUUCGUAUUCCGUUGUCAGAGGUGAAAUUCUUGGAUUUACGGAAGACGAACAUCUGCGAAAGCAUUUGCCAAGGAUGUUUUCAUUGA
rnacentral:rRNA from 1 species